rnacentral:rRNA from 1 species
GAUGAACGCUGGCGGCGUGCCUAAUACAUGCAAGUCGAGCGAACAGACGAGGAGCUUGCUCCUCUGACGUUAGCGGCGGACGGGUGAGUAACACGUGGAUAACCUACCUAUAAGACUGGGAUAACUUCGGGAAACCGGAGCUAAUACCGGAUAAUAUAUUGAACCGCAUGGUUCAAUAGUGAAAUACGGUUUUUCUGUCACUUAUAGAUGGAUCCGCGCCGCAUUAGCUAAUUGGUAAGGUAACGGCUUACCAAGGCAACGAUGCGUAGCCGACCUGAGAGGGUGAUCGGCCACACUGGAACUGAGACACGGUCCAGACUCCUACGGGAGGCAGCAGUAGGGAAUCUUCCGCAAUGGGCGAAAGCCUGACGGAGCAACGCCGCGUGAGUGAUGAAGGUCUUCGGAUCGUAAAACUCUGUUAUUAGGGAAGAACAAAUGUGUAAGUAACUAUGCACGUCUUGACGGUACCUAAUCAGAAAGCCACGGCUAACUACGUG